rnacentral:rRNA from 1 species
GAUGAACGCUGGCGGCGUGCCUAAUACAUGCAAGUCGAGCGAACAGACGAGGAGCUUGCUCCUCUGACGUUAGCGGCGGACGGGUGAGUAACACGUGGAUAACCUACCUAUAAGACUGGGAUAACUUCGGGAAACCGGAGCUAAUACCGGAUAAUAUAUUGAACCGCAUGGUUCAAUAGUUAAAGACGGUUUUGCUGUCACUUAUAGAUGGAUCCGCGCCGCAUUAGCUAGUUGGUAAGGUAACGGCCUACCAAGGCAACGAUGCGUAGCCGACCUGAGAGGGUGAUCGGCCACACUGGAACUGAGACACGGUCCAGACUCCUACGGGAGGCAGCAGUAGGGAAUCUUCCGCAAUGGGCGAAAGCCUGACGGAGCAACGCCGCGUGAGUGAUGAAGGUCUUCGGAUCGUAAAACUCUGUUAUUAGGGAAGAACAAAUGUGUAAGUAACUAUGCACGUCUUGACGGUACCUAAUCAGAAAGCCACGGCUAACUACGUG